rnacentral:lncRNA from 1 species
CUUCCGCGUUCCGGUUGCGGAUGGUGAGUGUGUCGGGGGGCUUGGCGGCUUUUCUCCUCAGUUUUCUGGAGUGCUUUGGAGGAGAGGACUAUGGCAGCCAGGGACGCCACUUCAGGCAGCCUGUCAGAGGAGAGCAGUGCUUUGGACCUGCCAUCAGCGUGUGACAUAAGAGAUUACGUCCUGCAGGGACCCAGCCAAGAAGCCAACAGCGAGGCUUUCAGUUCUUUGGAAUUCCAUUCUUUUCCUUAUUCUUCUGAUGUGGAUCCAGAUCUCUGAGAAUGCUUCAUUGUCUUAGGCAGAAAAACAUCUUACCUAAGCAAAGCUUUCAGGAGGAACUUCAAAGGACAGCUUACCUGGCACAGCAAUGACAAGGAGCUGUUUCCUGGAUGUCUUUUUGUUAUUGUUGCUGUUAAUCUCAGGUCUCUUUCUAAUCUCCCUCAAAAUGAAUUCAGAAGCAGGGGAAUAUUUGGUUCAACAAAGAGAGAGUGGAAUUUUUUUUUGUUUUGUUCUUUUAAAACUUCAGAAAAUAGCAAUGUGGGCCUGUUAUGUGUGAUGAGUAAUAAAAAUAGAGACUUUAGCAU